GGGAUUGUAGUUCAAUUGGUCAGAGUACCGUCCUGUCAAGACGGAAGUUACGGGUUCGAGCCCCGUCAGUCCCG
rnacentral:tRNA from 9 species